GAUGAAGAACGCAGCGAAAUGCGAUAAGUAAUGUGAAUUGCAGAAUUCAGUGAAUCAUCGAAUCUUUGAACGCAUCUUGCGCUCCUUGGUAUUCUGAGGAGCAUGCCUGUUUGAGUGUCAUUAAAUUCUCAACUACACUGACUUUGAAUUGGUGUGGCUUGGAUUUGGGUGGAAAAUUGUUGUGGGCUUUUUGUAUAGUCUGCUCCCCUGAAAGUGAUUAGCGGUACCUUUGUGGAACUGUCUACAGGUGUGAUAAUUAUCUACAUCUUAGACAUCUGCUGGAAUGCUGCUUUCUAAACCUUACUUGUAUUGACAAUCUUGACCUCAAAUCAGGUAGGACUACCCGCUGAACUUAAGCAUUUCAAUAAGCGGAGGA
rnacentral:misc_RNA from 1 species